rnacentral:misc_RNA from 1 species
CCGAGUUUACAACUCCCAAACCCCUGUGAACAUACCUAUUUUGUUGCUUCGGCGGUGUCCUCGCUUUCACGGCGAGGCCCGCCAGAGGACUCAAUAAAACUCUUUAUUUUUGAUCUAGGAUUUACUUCUGAGUGAUAAAAACAAUAAAUAA